UACGUAGGGCGCAAGCGUUAUCCGGAAUUAUUGGGCGUAAAGAGCUCGUAGGCGGUUUGUCGCGUCUGCCGUGAAAGUCCGGGGCUCAACUCCGGAUCUGCGGUGGGUACGGGCAGACUAGAGUGAUGUAGGGGAGACUGGAAUUCCUGGUGUAGCGGUGAAAUGCGCAGAUAUCAGGAGGAACACCGAUGGCGAAGGCAGGUCUCUGGGCAUUAACUGACGCUGAGACGCGAAAGCGUGGGGAGCGAACAGG
rnacentral:rRNA from 1 species